GGUUCCCGGGCCUUGUACACACCGCCCGUCACACCAUGGGAGUUUGUUGCACCAGAAGCAGGUAGCUUAACCUUCGGGAGGGCGCUUGCCACGGUGUGGCCGAUGACUGGGGUGAAGUCGUAACAAGGUAGCCGUAUCGGAAGGUGCGGCUGGAUCACCUCCUUUUGAGCAUGACGUCAUUCGUCCUGUCGGGCGUCCUCACAAAUUACCUGCAUUCAGAGAUUCAUACCGGCACAGGUCGGUAUGCGAAGUCCCUUUUGGGGCCUUAGCUCAGCUGGGAGAGCACCUGCUUUGCAAGCAGGGGGUCGUCGGUUCGAUCCCGACAGGCUCCACCAUAUUGAGUGAAAAGACUUCGGGUCUGUAGCUCAGGUGGUUAGAGCGCACCCCUGAUAAGGGUGAGGUCGGUAGUUCGAGUCUACCCAGACCCACCACUCUGAAUGUAGUGCACACUUAAGAAUUUAUAUGGAUCAGCGUUGAGGCUGAGACAUGUUCUUUUAUAACUUGUGACGUAGCGAGCGCUUGAGAUAUCUAUCUAAACGUGUCGUUGAGGCUAAGGCGGGGACUUCGAGUCCCUAAAUAUUGAGUCGUAUGUUCGCGUUGGUGGCUUUGUACCCCACACAACACGUACAUGUAGCUCCGAGGCAACUUGGGGUUAUAUGGUCAAGCGAAUAAGCGCACACGGUGGAUGCCUAGGCGGUCAGAGGCGAUGAAGGACGUGGUAGCCUGCGAAAAGUGUCGGGGAGCUGGCAACAAGCUUUGAUCCGGCAAUAUCCGAAUGGGGAAACCCACUGCUUCGGCAGUAUCCUGCAGUGAAUUCAUAGCUGCUGGAAGCGAACCCGGUGAACUGAAAUAUCUAAGUAACCGGAGGAAAAGAAAUCAACCGAGAUUCCCUAAGUAGUGACGAGCGAACGGGGAACAGCCCUUAAGCUGGAAUGGCUUUAGAAAAACAAUCUGGAAAGAUUGGCCAUAGAAGGUGAUAGCCCUGUAUUUAAAAGGGCCACUCCAGUGAAAACGAGUAGGGCGGGGCACGUGAAACCCUGUCUGAAUAUGGGGGGACCAUCCUCCAAGGCUAAAAUCCACCACCAUGA
rnacentral:sRNA from 1 species